rnacentral:rRNA from 1 species
GACGAACGCUGGCGGCGUGCUUAACACAUGCAAGUCGAACGGAAAGGCCCUGCUUUUGUGGGGUGCUCGAGUGGCGAACGGGUGAGUAACACGUGAGUAACCUGCCCUUGACUUUGGGAUAACUUCAGGAAACUGGGGCUAAUACCGGAUAGGAGCUCCUGCUGCAUGGUGGGGGUUGGAAAGUUUCGGCGGUUGGGGAUGGACUCGCGGCUUAUCAGCUUGUUGGUGGGGUAGUGGCUUACCAAGGCUUUGACGGGUAGCCGGCCUGAGAGGGUGACCGGCCACAUUGGGACUGAGAUACGGCCCAGACUCCUACGGGAGGCAGCAGUGGGGAAUAUUGCACAAUGGGCGGAAGCCUGAUGCAGCAACGCCGCGUGCGGGAUGACGGCCUUCGGGUUGUAAACCGCUUUCGCCUGUGACGAAGCGUGAGUGACGGUAAUGGGUAAAGAAGCACCGGCUAACUACGUGCCAGCAGCCGCGGUGAUACGUAGGGUGCGAGCGUUGUCCGGAUUUAUUGGGCGUAAAGGGCUCGUAGGUGGUUGAUCGCGUCGGAAGUGUAAUCUUGGGGCUUAACCCUGAGCGUGCUUUCGAUACGGGUUGACUUGAGGAAGGUAGGGGAGAAUGGAAUUCCUGGUGGAGCGGUGGAAUGCGCAGAUAUCAGGAGGAACACCAGUGGCGAAGGCGGUUCUCUGGGCCUUUCCUGACGCUGAGGAGCGAAAGCGUGGGGAGCGAACAGGCUUAGAUACCCUGGUAGUCCACGCUGUAAACGGUGGGUACUAGGUGUGGGGUCCAUUCCACGGGUUCCGUGCCGUAGCUAACGCUUUAAGUACCCCGCCUGGGGAGUACGGCCGCAAGGCUAAAACUCAAAGGAAUUGACGGGGCCCCGCACAAGCGGCGGAGCAUGCGGAUUAAUUCGAUGCAACGCGUAGAACCUUACCUGGGUUUGACAUGGAUCGGGAGCGCUCAGAGAUGGGUGUGCCUCUUUUGGGGUCGGUUCACAGGUGGUGCAUGGCUGUCGUCAGCUCGUGUCGUGAGAUGUUGGGUUAAGUCCCGCAACGAGCGCAACCCUUGUUCACUGUUGCCAGCACGUUAUGGUGGGGACUCAGUGGAGACCGCCGGGGUCAACUCGGAGGAAGGUGGGGAUGACGUCAAGUCAUCAUGCCCCUUAUGUCCAGGGCUUCACGCAUGCUACAAUGGCUGGUACAGAGAGUGGCGAGCCUGUGAGGGUGAGCGAAUCUCGGAAAGCCGGUCUUAGUUCGGAUUGGGGUCUGCAACUCGACCUCAUGAAGUCGGAGUCGCUAGUAAUCGCAGAUCAGCAACGCUGCGGUGAAUACGUUCCCGGG